GUUUAUUUAUAGUUUAUGGCUGAAAAGUAUACUUAGGAAGAAAUGAAAAUCCUUUAUAAUGUUUGUCCUGAAAACUUAAAUCUUUUUAAUCAUGUGUACAAUUAGGGCAGGCAAAACAAUUUUUGUGUUAUGCCCUUGAAUAGUUCUUGCUCACCAGUCAUUUAAAUUGUGUAGCUUUAACUUCAGUUCCUGUCAUCACACAUUAGGAUGAAGAUGUGUGAUGGAUCUACCCAAGCAAGGCACUGUAGAACAUGUCGCACUGUUCUGCCACUGAGCAGAUGAGAAGCUGGGUAUUCAUCCACCACUGUCCAACUGUCAUUGACUGAAUGCUGUUUCCAGAAGGACUCACUCUCUUACUUUGCAUGGCUUUUUUCAGGAUCUUCUGUGAGCUCAGCUUCUCCGGCUGGAAGUGCCAGGGAAUUACAUCACCAUAUUCCUUCUUUUGCUGGCGCUGCUGGUAAGUUCCCUACCUCCUUCUGUAAGACACUUUAAAGUUUGCAGGCAUUUGUUGACCCUGUUGCUAAUCAAAAUAUGCUUUGUUUUCUGGUGCAAACACUUUAUAGUCUUGUUAAAUUAAGUUUGGCCUAAAGCUGUGUCCUUACAGAUUUUAAAUUUAUAAACAUUAUUCUGUAGGUAGUGGACUGUAACUUAACUAGGUAUGGAAACAGUCGGUAACCUACUCUUGUACCAGUCAGCGAGUUUCAGCCAAUCAAAGGUAGCCAACUGUUGCAGCUAGGUUCAAGUAAGUCAAACACUGAGCUGUAAUCAAUCCAGUUGUUUUUAUACCUCUCCUCUGCUUUCUGCAGAUUAUUUUCCUGUUCUUAUCACAAAUCCCCUCCAACCAUGUGGCAGUGCAGAGUCUCUCUAAACCUAUUAUGAUUCUGGGGGGCUGCCUGAUUUGCAAAUCAUUUCAUAAUAGAUGGUAUCAAAAGUGGAACCUGAAGUGGGACAUCUAGCAACCCCCUGGAGCAUCGAAUGACCAGACAUAGGACCCACCAGGCCCAGAGUGUUCAUUGUUCUCACAAAUUGACUUGGGAUUGUGGGUUUCGGACUGCCAGAUUUCCCUGUGACCUGAAGAAAAAAAGAAACUUCUAUUUGAGGAAUACAUGUCCUUUAAUGGUCAGGCCCAGCGAGAGAUUAAAAUGAGACAGCAAUCAUACUUUACUCCCCCACUUGAGUUAUGUAAUCAUCUCUUGAAACUGAUUGCUAUUGCCCCACGUAACUAUAAAUUAACCUAAUAGGCUGGGAGUGGUGGCUCAUGCCUGUAAUCCCAGCACUUUGGGAGGCCAAGGUGGGCGGAUCACCUGAGGUGAUGAGUUUGAGACCAGCCUGCCCAACAUGGUGAAACCAUGUCUUUACUCAAAAUACAGAAAUUAGCCAGGUGUGGUGGUGCGCACCUGUAUUCUCAGCUACUUGGGAGACUGAGUCGGGAGAAUAGGUAGAACGUGGGAGGCGGUGAUUGCAUUGAGCCAAGAUCACACCACUGCACUCUAGCCUGGGUGACAGAGUGAGAUUCCAUCUCAAAAAUAAAACAAAAUAAAAAAUAAAAAUAAAUUAAUCUAAUAAUGCCAUACAGGACACUAAAAGCCACACCCUAUUGCUUAAUAAUGUAUACCCAAUCACUAAUCAAUGUUAUUUCUAUAAACCAAUGAGAAUUCCUGGCAGAUAAUCUUGUAUGAGCCCACUCACUCUCUUUUUUUUUUUUUUUGCCUUUAAAAAUCCAUUGGUUACUGCUGCUAAUAGGAGUGUAUAUUCAGGGAAACUUGAAUCUAUGUUCUUUGGUUGCAAUUGCCAAACUUGGCCCAAAUAAAUUUCUUCUUAUAUUAAUUUUGCCUCAGUCUCUUCUUUUGUAAACCCAAAAUAAAAUUAAAAGCCCCCUAACCAACUGAAUGGCUCCUUCCUCUUGGCCGAAGAUAUUCCAAAGUAAACCUGGAAAACUAAUUCAGGCCACAGUGGCAUGAAGAGGUUGGACAUGACUCAUUGCACUCUCCUCCCUUUAGAAUUCCGGCACAAUUAACCAGCAUUAACAAUAAAACAGAGAUCUUCAGAGUCACAAAACAGACUCUUUGUAGCACAAAAUACCAAAUUUCAACC
ensembl:lncRNA